rnacentral:rRNA from 1 species
GUAACAAGGUCUCCGUAGGUGAACCUGCGGAGGGAUCAUUAAA